AUUGAACGCUGGCGGCAGGCUUAACACAUACAAGUCGAGCGGGGGAGGUUGCUUCGGUAACUGACCUAGCGGCGGACGGGUGAGUAAUGCUUAGGAAUCUGCCUAUUAGUGGGGGACAACAUUCCGAAAGGGAUGCUAAUACCGCAUACGCCCUACGGGGGAAAGCAGGGGAUCUUCGGACCUUGCGCUAAUAGAUGAGCAUAAGUCGGAUUAGCUAGUUGGGGGGGUAAAGGCCUACCAAGGCGACGAUCUGUAGCGGGUCUGAGAGGAUGAUCCGCCACACUGGGACUGGGACACGGCCCAGACUCCUACGGGAGGCAGCAGUGGGGAAUAUUGGACAAUGGGCGGAAGCCUGAUCCAGCCAUGCCGCGUGUGUGAAGAAGGCCUUUUGGUUGUAAAGCACUUUAAGCGAGGAGGAGGCUACUAGUACUAAUACUACUGGAUAGUGGACGUUACUCGCAGAAUAAGCACCGGCUAACUCUGUGCCAGCCGCCGCCGUAACAC
rnacentral:rRNA from 1 species